rnacentral:rRNA from 1 species
AAGUGGCAGUCACUGGUUCCAAUGAACAGCCUGAAGGAUUCUCGUGCCUCAGGACCCUUGUGUCCGUACUGCAUCACCGCAGCCGGUCUCCUCGACUAGACGUCGCUUGUCCACGGACGAAAUGCAGCUAAGGGAAGUCGGCAAACUGGCCGUGCACCUUUGGAAGAUACGGUGGCUCCAGAGGCCAAGUCAGCAGGCCCUGUCGUGGGGGUUGUGGGAGUUACGGUCGAUCACCCUGUGGGAUGGCCUCUCGGGGCCGUUCUGCGGGGCUGUCUUCGCCGUGGCCUCUGCUUCAUCCCGGACAGGGGCAACCCUUCGGGUCCUCGUGGCCUGUAGGGCCGACCUGUUGACUAACCAGUGGCUCGUGUGGAACUGUUGCUGUGCAGGGGAAUCUGACUGUUUAAUUGAAACCCAGCUUUGUGAAGGGACCAGCUGGCUGGUUCCGUGAGGUGACUUCUGCCCAGUGCUCUGAUUGUCAAUGCGAAGAGAUUCAGCCAAGCGCGGGUAAACGGCGGGAGUAACUAUGACUCUCUUAAGGUAGCCAAAUGCCUCGUCAACCAAUUAUUGACGCGCAUGAAUGGAUCAACGAGAUUCCUGCUGUCCCUAGUCGCUGUCUGGUGAACCAACAACCAAGGGAACGGGCUUGGAUGUGUCAGCGGGGAAAGAAGACCCUGUUGAGUUUGACUCUAGUUUGAUACUGUGCAACAACAUGUGGGGCGUAGCAUAGGUGGGAGGUGAGUGCCA